UACGGAGGGAGCUAGCGUUGUUCGGAAUUACUGGGCGUAAAGAGCGCGCAGGCGGCUGGUCAAGUCCGAUGUGAAAUCUCCCGGCUUAACUGGGAAACUGCAUCGGAAACUGAUCGGCUUGAAGGUGGGAGAGGGUAGUGGAAUUCCCGGUGUAGUGGUGAAAUGCGUAGAUAUCGGGAGGAACACCGGUGGCGAAGGCGGUUCUCUGGGCAUUACCUGACGCUGAGGAGCGAAAGUGUGGGGAGCGAACAGG
rnacentral:rRNA from 1 species